rnacentral:rRNA from 1 species
GAUAAACGCUGGCGGCGCACAUAAGACAUGCAAGUUGAACGGACUUAAUCGAAAUAUUUAUAUUUUGAAGCGGUUAGUGGCGGACUGGUGAGUAACGCGUAAGGAACCUGCCUAUUAGAGGGGAAUAACAGUGAGAAAUCAUUGCUAAUACCGCAUAUGCCAUAGAUAUCACAUGAUAACAGUGGGAAAGGAGCAAUCCGCUAAUAGAUGGCCUUGCGUCUGAUUAGAUAGUUGGUGGGGUAACGGCCUACCAAGUCGACGAUCAGUAGCCGGACUGAGAAGUUGAACGGCCACAUUGGGACUGAGAUACGGCCCAGACUCCUACGGGAGGCAGCAGUCGGGAAUAUUGCGCAAUGGAGGAAACUCUGACGCAGUGACGCCGCGUAUAGGAAGAAGGUUUUCGGAUUGUAAACUAUUGUCGUUAGGGAAGAGAAAGGACAGUACCUAAGGAGGAAGCUCCGGCUAACUACGUG